rnacentral:rRNA from 1 species
GACGAACGCUGGCGGCGUGCUUAACACAUGCAAGUCGAACGGAAAGGCCCUGCUUUUUUGUGGUGCUCGAGUGGCGAACGGGUGAGUAACACGUGAGUAACCUGCCCUUGACUUUGGGAUAACUUCAGGAAACUGGGGCUAAUACCUGAUAGGAGCUCCUGCUGCAUGGUGGGGGUUGGAAAGUUUCGGCGGUUGGGGAUGGACUCGCGGCUUAUCAGCUUGUUGGUGGGGUAGUGGCUUACCAAGGCUUUGACGGGUAGCCGGCCUGAGAGGGUGACCGGCCACAUUGGGACUGAGAUACGGACCAGACUCCUACGGGAGGCAGCAGUGGGGAAUAUUGCACAAUGGGCGGAAGCGUGAUGAAGCAACGCCGCGUGCGGGAUGACGGCCUUCGGGUUGUAAACCGCUUUCGCCUGUGACGAAGCGUGAGUGACGGUAAUGGGUAAAGAAGCACCGGCUAACUACGUG